GAGGAAAGUCCGGGCUCUAAUUAUAAAAAUAUAGUUGUAUAAAUACAGUGUAGGAAACUAUCAGGAUCGUGCCACAGAAAUAGACCGCCUGUUAUAGGGUAAGGGUGCAAUGGUUCGUUAAGAGCGCACCAGAAAUACUAUCAAGGUAUUUGCUAGGUAAACCCCGUAUUAGAGCAAAGUGAUUAACAUAUAUUGUUCAGUAUUGUUUUUAUAAAUUUUACUAAUAAAAUAUUAUUGUUAAUUUAUGUACACUGCAAGAAGUAAUUUUUUACUAAAGAUUAAUGAUUACCCUUUUUAGAAUCUAUUUUAUAGUUAAUACUAAAAAGAACUAAAUCCGGCUUAU
rnacentral:RNase_P_RNA from 1 species